rnacentral:rRNA from 1 species
GAUGAACGCUGGCGGCGUGCCUAAUACAUGCAAGUCGAGCGAACAGACGAGGAGCUUGCUCCUCUGACGUUAGCGGCGGACGGGUGAGUAACACGUGGAUAACCUACCUAUAAGACUGGGAUAACUUCGGGAAACCGGAGCUAAUACCGGAUAAUAUAUUGAACCGCAUGGUUCAAUAGUGAAAGACGGUUUUGCUGUCACUUAUAGAUGGAUCCGCGCCGCAUUAGCUAGUUGGUAAGGUAACGGCUGACCAAGGCAACGAUGCGUAGCCGACCUGAGAGGGUGAUCCGCCACCCUGGAACUGAGACACGGUCCAGACUCCUACGGGAGGCAGCAGUAGGGAAUCUUCCGCAAUGGGCGAAAGCCUGACGGAGCAACGCCGCGUGAGUGAUGAAGGUCUUCGGAUCGUAAAACUCUGUUAUUAGGGAAGAAAAAAUGUGUAAGUAACUAUGCACGUCUUGACGGUACCUAAUCAGAAAGCCACGGCUAACUACGUG